rnacentral:tRNA from 1 species
UCCCCAAUAGUUCAGUUGGUAGAACACCGGACUGUUAAUCCGUAUGUCCCUGGUUCGAGUCCAGGUUGGGGAG